rnacentral:tmRNA from 1 species
CGUCUUUUCACCGGGAGGGCGACCCCCUAUAUUCCCUCUCGCCGGCGCAAGCCGGAUAUGGCGAUAAACGGCCGAUGUAAUAAACCUUUCGGACCCGGGGGCAGUACCCGGCGCCUCCACCUGAACCGCCCGGCCGGGCGUUUGAGGCGGGGGCGAAGCAGGAUCGACGAGGGCGUAAAGAUCGGACUUUUGCUCGGCAUUGUACCGCCGUUAUCGGGCUGAAAAAGUAGUUGCCAACGACAACUAUGCGGAAGCGCGUCUCGCAGCCUAAGGCUGUGCGAUAGCUUCAAAUCAAGCCCUAGGGGUUCGCACUUCUAGGCGGGGCUCGGAGGCGCCUGGCAACAGAAGCCUCCACU